rnacentral:rRNA from 1 species
GGGGAAUAUUGGGCAAUGGGCGAAAGCCUGACCCAGCAACGCCGCGUGAAGGAAGAAGGUCUUCGGAUUGUAAACUUCUUUUAUGAGGGACGAAGGACGUGACGGUACCUCAUGAAUAAGCCACGGCUAACUACGUGCCAGCAGCCGCGGUAAUACGUAGGUGGCAAGCGUUAUCCGGAUUUACUGGGUGUAAAGGGCGCGUAGGCAGGGAUGCAAGUCAGAUGUGAAAUCUAUGGGCUUAACCCAUAAACUGCAUUUGAAACUGUAUCUCUUGAGUGCUGGAGAGGUAGACGGAAUUCCUUGUGUAGCGGUGAAAUGCGUAGAUAUAAGGAAGAACACCAGUGGCGAAGGCGGUCUACUGGACAGUAACUGACGCUGAGGCGCGAGAGCGUGGGGAGCAAAC